rnacentral:snoRNA from 1 species
GUUGCUUCUUACUGGUGAACUCUCUUAAAUUACUAAAUGAGGGAUGUUCAUGUUUCAGAAGCAUAAAUUGGUAUGUUAUUGCCAGUAUUAAACAGCAUGAUGUAUUUAUCUUUCUUGCAUCAUGUUACCUGUCUCCUGGUAAAUUC